AUAACUUAAGAGUUUGAUCAUGGCUCAGAACGAACGCUGGCGGCAUGCCUAACACAUGCAAGUCGAACGA
rnacentral:rRNA from 1 species